rnacentral:rRNA from 1 species
AACGAACGCUGGCGGCAGGCCUAACACAUGCAAGUCGAGCGCCCCAGCGAUGGGGAGCGGCGGACGGGUGAGUAACGCGUGGGAACGUGCCCCUUUCUGCGGAAUAGCCUCGGGAAACUGGGAGUAAUACCGCAUAAGCCCUACGGGGGAAAGAUUUAUCGGGAAGGGAUCGGCCCGCGUUGGAUUAGGUAGUUGGUGGGGUAAUGGCCUACCAAGCCGACGAUCCAUAGCUGGUUUGAGAGGAUGAUCAGCCACACUGGGACUGAGACACGGCCCAGUACUCCUACGGGAGGCAGCAGUGGGGAAUCUUAGACAAUGGGCGCAAGCCUGAUCUAGCCAUGCCGCGUGAGCGAUGAAGGCCUUAGGGUUGUAAAGCUCUUUCAGGGGGGAAGAUAAUGACUGUACCCCCAGAAGAAGCCCCGGCUAACUCCGUGCCAGCAGCCGCGGUAAGCGUAUGUGU